GACGAACGCUGGCGGCGUGCUUAACACAUGCAAGUCGAACGGAAAGGCCCUGCUUUUGUGGGGUGCUCGAGUGGCGAACGGGUGAGUAACACGUGAGUAACCUGCCCUUGACUUUGGGAUAACUUCAGGAAACAGCGGCUAAUACCGGAUAGGAGCUCCUGCUGCAUGGUGGGGGUUGGAAAGAUUCGGCGGUUGGGGAUGGACUCGCGGGUUAUCAGCUUGUUGGUGGGGUAGGGGAUUUCCAAGGGUUUGAGGGGUAGCCGGCCUGGGAGGGGGACCGGGCACAGGGCGCCUGAGAGAGGGCCCAGUAGCGUACGGGAGGCAACGGUGGGGAAUAUGACGCAAUGGGGGGAAGCCUGUGGUGGAAACGCCGCGUUCGGAAUGACGUCCUUCGGGUUGUAAACAACUUUCUCCGGAAACGAAGCGUGAGUGACGGUAAUUGAUAAAAAAGCACCGGCUAACUACGUG
rnacentral:rRNA from 1 species